CCUACGGGAGGCAGCAGUGGGGAAUCUUGCGCAAUGGGCGAAAGCCUGACGCAGCAACGCCGCGUGCGGGAAGAAGGCUUUCGGGCUGUAAACCGCUUUCAGCAGGAACGAAAAUGACGGUACCUGCAGAAGAAGGAGCGGCCAACUAUGUGCCAGCAGCCGCGGUGAUACAUAGGCUUCAAGCGUUGUCCGGAUUUAUUGGGCGUAAAGAGUUCGUAGGCGGUCAAGUAAGUCGGGUGUGAAAAUUCUGGGCUCAACCCAGAGACGCCACCCGAUACUGCUUAACUUGAGUUCGAUAGGGGAGUGGGGAAUUCCUAGUGUAGCGGUGAAAUGCGCAGAUAUUAGGAGGAACACCGGUGGCGAAGGCGCCACUCUGGAUCGAUACUGACGCUGAGGAACGAAAGCAUGGGUAGCAAACAGGAUUAGAUACCCUGGUAGUCCAUGCCGUAAACGGUGGGCACUAGGUGUGGGUUUCUAUUAACGAAAUCCGCGCCGUCGCUAACGCAUUAAGUGCCCCGCCUGGGGAUACGGUCGCAAGACUAAAACUCAAAUGAAUUGACGGCUUGAAGACGUUGCGAGCGACACGAGGGAGAGG
rnacentral:rRNA from 1 species